rnacentral:lncRNA from 1 species
UCUCGUUAGCUUCGGUUUCCUUCCGGAGUUGUGAGGAUUCGUUCGACUACAUCCGUUUGUCUUCUUCAUGGACUCGUUCUUCUUCCUUGCGGGAUCUCAGGCAAGAUGACCAUACCCUCGAAAUCACUUCUAUCUUUGCUUGUUAGUUGUUCGCUCUAUUGCUAUGCUGCGCUACCUACCACUUGCUAUAUCAUGCCUCCCAUGUUGCCAUGUCAAGCCUCUAACCAUCCUUUCCUAGCAAACCGUUGUUUGGCUAAGUUACCGCUUUUGCUCAGCCCUUCUUAUAGCAUUGCUAGUUGCAGGUGAAGAUGAAGUUUGUUCCAUGUUGGGACAUGGAUAUUGUUGGGAUAUCACAAUAUCUCUUAUUUAAUUAAUGCAUCUAUAUACUUGGUAAAGGGUGGAAGGCUCGGCCUUAUGCCUGGUGUUUUGUUCCACUCUUGCCGCCCUAGUUUCCGUCAUACCGGUGUUAUGUUCCUUGAUUUUGCGUUCCUUAUGCGGUUGGGUGAUUUAUGGGACCCCCUUGACAGUUCGCUUUGAAUAAAACUCCUCCAGCAAGGCCCAACCUUGGUUUUACCAUUUGCUACCACCUAUCCCCUUUUCCCUUGGGUUCUGCAGACUCAAGGGUCAUCUUUAUUUUAACCCCCCCGGGCCAGUGCUUCUCUAAGUGCUGGUCCGAACUGAGUAGACUGCGGGGCCCCCUCAUGGAAACUCGAGGUCUGGUUUUACUCGAAGGAUGUCUCAUCCAGUGUUGCCCUGAGAACGAGAUAUGUGCAGCUCCUAUCAGGAUUUGUCGGCACAUCGGGCGGCUUUGCUGGUCUUGUUUUACCAUUGUCAAAAUGUCUUGUAAACCGGGAUUCCGAGACUGAUCGGGUCUUCCCGGGAGAAGGAAUAUCCUUCGUUGACCGUGAGAGCUUAUAAUGGGCUAAGUUGGGACACCCCUGCAGGGUAUAAACUUUCGAGAGCCGUGCCCGCGGUUAUGUGGCAGAUGGGAAUUUGUUAAUAUCCGUUUGUAGAGAACUUGACACUUGACUUAAUUAAAACGCAUCAACCGCAUGUGUAGCCGUGAUGGUCUCUUUUCGGCGGAGUCCGCGAAGUGAACACGGUUUUGGGUUAUGUUUGACGUAAGUAGGAGUUCAGGAUCACUUCUUGAUCAUUACUAGUUGACGACCAUUCCGUUGCUCCUCUUCUCGCUCUUAUUUGCGUAUGUUAGCCACCAUAUAUGCUUAGUGCUUGCUGCAGCUCCACCUCACUACCCCUUUCCUACCCUUAAGCUUAAAUAGUCUUGAUCUCGCGGGUGUGAGAUUGCUGAGUCCUCGUGACUCACCAGAUACUUCCAACCAGUUGCAGGUGCCGAUGAUACCAGUGCAGGCGAUGCAACCGAGCUCUAACGGGAGUUCGACGAGGAACUUGGUCAUUACUAUGUUUCAUUUCCUGAUGAUCAGUACUGGAGCCCAGUUGGGACAAUCAGGGAUCUAGCAUUUGGGGUUGUCUUCUUUUCUUUUGGUUACGUAGUCGGACCUAUGUGUGUUCUCUGAUUGAUGUAUGAUUUAUUUAUGUAUUGUGUGAAGUGGCGAUUGUAAGCCAACUCUUUAUCCCAUUCUUGUUCAUUACAUGGGAUUGUGUGAAGAUGACCCUUCUUGCGACAAAACCACAAUGCGGUUAUGCCUCUA